GGGUCAACAAUGAGACCUCAUACUGUCUCAAAGAGAGAUGAUAACUCAAAAAUCAUGCUCAUUAGCAUUAUUCUGAGGCCU
ensembl:snoRNA SNORD115 Small nucleolar RNA SNORD115